rnacentral:rRNA from 1 species
AGAGUUUGAUCAUGGCUCAGAACGAACGCUGGCGGCAGGCUUAACACAUGCAAGUCGAGCGCCCCGCAAGGGGAGCGGCAGACGGGUGAGUAACGCGUGGGAAUCUACCGAGCCCUGCGGAAUAACUCCGGGAAACUGGAACUAAUACCGCAUACGCCCUUUUGGGGAAAGAUUUAUCGGGGUUUGAUGAGCCCGCGUUGGAUUAGCUAGUUGGUGGGGUAAAGGCCCACCAAGGCGACGAUCUUUAGCUGGUCUGAGAGGAUGAUCAGCCACACUGGGACUGAGACACGGCCCAGACUCCUACGGGAGGCAGCAGUGGGGAAUAUUGGACAAUGGGCGAAAGCCUGAUCCAGCAAUGCCGCGUGAGUGAUGAAGGCCCUAGGGUUGUAAAGCUCUUUUGCCCGGGAUGAUAAUGACAGUACCGGGAGAAUAAGCUCCGGCUAACUCCGUGCCAGCAGCCGCGGUAAU